ACAAUAAUACCGAGGCCAGUGGCCAGCAAACCGCGGCUCUCGAGCCACAUGCGGCUCUUUGGCCUCUUGAGUGUGGCUCUUCCACAAAAUACCACGUGCGGGCUCCCACGUAUAGUGCGAUUAAAACUUCGUAGCCCAUGCCCAAAAGUCGCUUUUUGGCUUUCAAAAGACAUUUCAGUCGCUGUACUUUUGCUAUUUGGCUCUGUUGACUGAUGAGUUUGCCGACCACUGA